UACGUAGGGGGCAAGCGUUAUCCGGAUUUACUGGGUGUAAAGGGAGCGUAGGUGGCAAGGCAAGUCAGAUGUGAAAACCCGGGGCCCAACCCCGGGAGUGCAUUUGAAACUGUCUGGCUAGAGUGCAGGAGAGGUAAGUGGAAUUCCUAGUGUAGCGGUGAAAUGCAUAGAUAUUAGGAGGAACACCAGUGGCGAAGGCGGCUUACUGGACUGUAACUGACACUGAGGGUCGAAAGCGUGGGGAGCAAACAGG
rnacentral:rRNA from 1 species